rnacentral:rRNA from 1 species
UACGAAGGGUGCAAACGUUGCUCGGAAUCAUUGGGCGUAAAGCGCGCGUAGGCGGCCCGAUAAGUCCGCUGUGAAAGUCAACGGCUCAACUGUUGGAUGCCGGUGGAUACUGUCGGGCUAGAGUACGGAAGAGGCAAGUGGAAUUCCUGGUGUAGCGGUGGAAUGCGCAGAUAUCAGGAGGAACACCUAUAGCGAAGGCAGCUUGCUGGGACGUUACUGACGCUAAGGCGCGAAAGCGUGAGGAGCGAACAGG